AUUUUAUAUUAUUAUUUCAUUUCUCUUGCUUCUGUUGUGUUUACUUGGAAUUGGGGGGACCCAUAUGACUAUUAUAAGUGGAUACUUCUUUUAUCUUAGAUUAGUAGUAUGUAAGUAAGGAAAGGUGGGGCUAUGUCUCCUUCUCCACAGUACAAGAUAACAGAUAGGACAAUGGGUGAGGGACCACCAGUGGUCUAUGAGCCCUGGUCUCAGAGUAAUUGAGAGUGAAAAAGACAAAGUGCAUGCACAGUUGUCCUUGUUCCUCAUUUCUUGGUGUGUGAAUAUGCUUUCUGGGCAGACCAAGCUAAGGGGCAGGGAAGAGGAUGGGUUGAAGGUAGAGGGUGUUACCUGUGUGCAGAGUUAGUUAAAAAAAAUGCAGACUCUUUAGCAUAUCCGCAUCUUUUGCAUAUAUACUCAUGUUGCAACAGAAGAAAGGGUGGGGGAAAAACUGUAAUUGCAAUGUAUACAUGUAAGGAUAACCUGACCCCCUUGCUGUACAGUGGGAAAAUAAAAAAAAUAAAAAAAAAAGAUUCUCUAAUCAGUUGGUUAUCUAAAAGUCUUCAAGUAGCUUUCAUAAUUUUUAAAGGAAAUGACAUGAUUAAUAAAUUAUACAAAAUUAUGUAUUCUCUUGUUAUGUUAGGUUUAAGCUGUCCAUUUUGUGGAACUAAAUACAAGGGUUAUUCUGAGACUAAGAUCUUAUGUUUGACCCUUAUAGCCUAGGGUGCCCAGUAAUUUGAUGCAUAAGCAAAGUUACAUAACCCUUUUAAAUAUUUAUUAUUUGUUUAGAGGAUAGGUUACAUCCUCUCCUUUGUAGGAUAGAAGCACCAUAUUUAUCAUCCCAUCUAAAGUAAUGGCAUUAUUAAGUAAGAGAAAUAAUGUUGGUUGUUCUAAAUGUACAAGUAAGAAUUGCUUAUUUAGGCUUGGGAUAUAUCAAAUGGGAAAAGUCCUCCUUUAUCAAGGUAUACUGCCAGUGGAAUUUGCCUUUGACCAUCCUGGAAAUAUAUUUCACUCUUAAAACUAGCUCAUAUGGUCUUAUCAUUAACGAAGAAUAUCUCUUCCACUCUUAUUUAAAGAAAAAAAAAUUUACUAAUCUGAGAGGUUAAAAGUAUCUUCUCUUGCCUUUAAAAUGUAUUAGCAAAUUUUCACCCUUUUUAUUAUAUUUCACACAAAAUAAUAUGUAACAUCUAUACAAGGCAUAAAGAAUUUUUCAAUGUCUGUGUACCCCUCCCCCGCCCCCCAGGUUCAGAAACAGAAUGUUGAAGCUGCCCGUGUGACCUUCACCAGUUACUUGGUGGUACUCACAGUCAUGCAUUUUGUGAUUAUCACUGAACACAAAUGAUAACUGAUAAACUCUUGCUUUCUUAAUAGGUUUACUCUAGGUAUAUUAUUACGUAUUUUAUUGUUUAGUUUUGCAUGUUUUAAAUGCCAUAUAAAUGGUAUUUAUUGCCUGUCUAACUUCCAUAACUUACUUUUUCCCCCAUGGCAUUAUAUUAGUGUUAUGCAUAUCGGUGUAUAUAAUUCAUUUUUUAGGGAUCAGUAUUUUUAAAAAAUUAUCUCUAUGUUUUUCUGUUUGUUUUUUUUUCAUUUAUUUCUGCUACUUGCAUAUUUAUCCAUCAGGGUUCUUGUGUUUUUCUGUGGAGUCAGAUCUUUGUAUUUUCUCCUGUUGCUUUUAUGCUUCAUCAUCCACAUAUCAAAUGAUAAUGAUAGUAAUAAUAGCAAAUACAUACAAACAUUACUAUGUGCCAGGCACUAGUUUAAGUAUUUACUAUUUAAAUAUAUUAACUCAUUUAAUGCUCGUGGAAACUUUAUCAAGGAGUACAAUAUUAUGAGAAACUUUAUUAAGAUUAGGGCCUGAGGCAUAGAGGCAUUCAGUCAUUUGAAUCCUGGCAGUCUGGCUCCAGAGACCAUGCUCUUCAUAUUACACUGUUCUGACUCCUUAUGUAGUCUUUUCUUUUAGCUACAUUUUUUUCCCAUUUAACCUUUCAGGGUAUUAAAAUAUUUCUGU
ensembl:lncRNA